AUGGCGCAAGGUACCGCGCCCUCCGCGGCCGGCGGAGGCGGCGGGGGUGUUUUCUCCACCCCGGCGGCGGUCGCGACGACUCCCCCAGGCACCCCCCGCGCGGCGGCGGCGGCGCAGCCGGUCCCCUCCGGGCACUACGCGGUAGAGCUCUACUUCGAUCCCGCGCUGGAGAACCAGGUGCUCAAGGCGUGGAACGCUCUCGCGCGGCGGCAGCUCAGCAGCCGCCUCAUCGACACCGCGUCCCGCCCGCACCUCCCGCUGCUGCAUCUCCCGGCCGCCGCGCUCCCCGACCCGCUCCGCCUCGCGCCCGCCCUCCGCGCGCUCGCCUCCCGCAUCGACCCGCUCCCUCUCGCGCUCUCCUCGCUCGCGUCGCCCCCGUCAUCCCUUGAUGCGGGGGUCCUCUUCCUUUCGCCCACGCCAUCGGCGGCGCUGCUCGGCCUCCACGCGCAGCUCUGCGAGCUGCUGCGCAAGGACACGGGGCUCGAGGUGCCCGACGGGUUCCGCCCAGACAACUGGGUCCCGCGGUGCGCCGUCGCCGUCGAUGUGCCACGUGGCCGUAUGGCCGAGGCCUUCUGCGUGCUCCGUGAGCUCAAGCUUCUGCCUGUCUCCGGGUAUGGUAUGGACAUUGCGCUGGUAGAAGUCGGGCCGGUGGUCAGAGAGGUCGUAUCGUACCCGCUUGGUGGCAGCGGCGGCGUUGGAGCCGAUUGA
rnacentral:rRNA from 1 species